rnacentral:lncRNA from 1 species
GGAAAUUCGUAUCCAUAGAGCCACAAUUUCUCUCUUUAUUCUUAGAGAUGUUGAAAUAUGGAAGACGCAUACAGAUUUUCAGGAAAUGAAUAUGAUGAGAGAUAAAAAUCAACCAUCAUUUAAUAAACGCCCAUUCAGGUUACAUAUUUACCUUAUACAAAUCAAUUAUUGCCCACUUUCAUACAAAUUUUUUUUUUUAAUUAUGACCUGAAUUAUAGAAAGUUUCUCAAACUUUGAUAUUUCUGAAAAUAUAAUAUUAAAGAAUGGUAAAUUGGUAAACUCAAGAAGCAAAUAUGCCCACUAGUUAUAAGCUCACAAAUGAUUUCAAGAGAGAACAAAUCUGCAACGAAACAUAAAUUUCAAGAUCAACAAAUACAUAGUUGUUGAUGCAGUAAUAAAUGGGUGCAGCCAUAACAUAAAAUGUGUCUUCUGAUUUAGUUUCUAAUGCAAUAUUGUUUUGUUGGAUCAGGAAAAUAUGUCAUUGGUAUAAAUUAUAGCCUAUUUCUACAGUCAUCCGGACGCGGCAAUCGGUAAAGCUAGUCUGUAAAAGAUUUCUUUAUCUACAACACCAAACUAUGCAGAAAAACUGCACAUAUUGCAGCUGAUACCCACCAAACAUAUCCAUCAAAAAAUCAACUUAGAUCACUUAAAGGCUUCAACAGCUACAUUCAGCUUUUAUCUCGGUAGAAAGUUCACUAUCAAAUCAAUAUCCAACCAGAUCUUUUUCCCGGAUCAGAAUGUCUUCCAGCGACAUUACUAAAACUCCAGCAGUCAACAAUGAACUAGUUUCUUCAGUAUUUAUCAUCAAUCAUAACUUCGAGACUACCUAAAAGUUCAUGGAACGCACUCUCCUCAGAAUCCUUGGAGGUCUCUUCCCCUCUACCACUGGAAUCAAGUUCUCCAUGAGCUGCACGUAAAAUAGAAACAAAAGAAAUGGGAAAAGAAUGUUAAAGAUGCAGUAAAGAAUUCAAUAUAUGUUGGUUGAAAUGAAUAGAAGUAGAAUCGACUUCCAUGAUAGAAUUGCAUAUGUGAGUACCCAAGUAUGGGGCUUCAGGAGACACUGACAUCUCAUCCGUCAAGAUAAAAUUCAAAAAUCAGGUGCCAAUCUUAAAGGCCGGAUAAUUAUAUUUCACAUUCUAGGAGAUUUUUUAUUUCUAAGAGUCACAAUUCAGAUCCAUUGUUACAAAGGAUUGUGAGAUUACAGAAAUGAUACAGUGCACGACCUUAGAAACAAUCAGCCUUUUGUACGGGAAAUGUGUUGAUGCAAAUCUACAUAAGCUCAAUAUUUCAAAGUAUCUUGAAACAGGAUAAGCU